rnacentral:rRNA from 1 species
GAUGAACGCUGGCGGCGUGCCUAAUACAUGCAAGUCGAGCGAACAGACGAGGAGCUUGCUCCUUCGGCGUUAGCGGCGGACGGGUGAGUAACACGUAGGUAACCUGCCUAUAAGCCUGGGAUAACUUCGGGAAACCGGAGCUAAUACCGGAUAACAUUGCGAACCGCAUGGUUCGUAAGUGAAAGAGGCCUUUGCUCCAACAUAUGAUUGACCCUCGCCGUAUUAGCUAGUGGGUAAGGUAACGGCUUACCAAGGCGAACUUCCGUAGCCGACCUGAGAGGGUGAUCGGCCACACUGGAACUGGGCCACGGUCCAGCCUCCUACGGGAGGCAGCAGUGGGGAUUCUUCCGCAUUGGGCGAAAGCCGGACGGGGCAACGCCGCGUGAGUGAUGAAGGUCUUCGGAUCGUAAAACUCUGUUAUUAGGGAAGAACGAUCUUGUAAGUAACUGUGCACGUCUUGACGGUACCUUAUCAGAAAGCCACGGCUAACUACGUG